rnacentral:rRNA from 1 species
AACGAACGCUGGCAGCGUGGAUAGGCAUGCAAGUCGAACGGGAUCCGGGGGAUAGCAAUAGUUCCUGGUGAGAGUGGCGGAGUUGGGGAGGAACACGUGAGCAACUGCCCUGGAGAUGUGGAAAACCGUGGAAACGACGGCUAAUACAGAAUGUGGCGUCCGAUGGCAUCAUCGGAACGCUGAAGGGGGCCCCAAAGGCUCCCGCUCCGGGAUGGGCUCGCGCACCAUCAGCUUGUUGGCGGGUAACGGCCCACCAAGGCUUACGGUUAGCUGGUCUGAGAGGAUGACCAGCCCCACUGGGACUGAGAUACUGCCCAGACUCCUACGGGAGGCUGCAGUCGAGGAUCAUUCGCAAUGGGCGAAAGCCUGACGAUGCGACGCUGCGUGGAAGGAUGAAGGCCUUCGGGUUGUAAACUCCUGUCAUGGGGGAAGAGGCGAGGGGACCCAAUACGUCCCUUAGUUGACUGUACCCCAAGAGGAAUGGGCGGCUAACUCUGUGCCAGCAGCGGC